UACGUAGGGUGCGAGCGUUAAUCGGAAUUACUGGGCGUAAAGCGUGCGCAGGCGGUUGUGCAAGACAGAUGUGAAAUCCCCGGGCUCAACCUGGGAAUUGCAUUUGUGACUGCACGGCUAGAGUGUGUCAGAGGGGGGUAGAAUUCCACGUGUAGCAGUGAAAUGCGUAGAGAUGUGGAGGAAUACCGAUGGCGAAGGCAGCCCCCUGGGAUAACACUGACGCUCAGACACGACAGCAUGGGGAGCGAACGGG
rnacentral:rRNA from 1 species